rnacentral:ncRNA from 1 species
UUUGAAAAAAGGCAAAUCUAUCGAAAGGUGGAGACGCAAAGUUACAGGUCUAAGGUAUUUUACUAGGACGGCUGGGCUACCAAA